CUGCGAAUGGCUCAUUAAAUCAGUUAUCGUUUAUUUGAUAGUACCUUACUACUUGGAUAACCGUGGUAAUUCUAGAGCUAAUACAUGCUAAAAACCCCGACUCACGAAGGGGUGUAUUUAUUAGAUUAAAAACCAAUGCCCUUCGGGGCUCUUUGGUGAUUCAUAAUAACUUCUCGAAUCGCAUGGCCUUGCGCCGGCGAUGGUUCAUUCAAAUUUCUGCCCUAUCAACUUUCGAUGGCAGGGUCUUGGCCUGCCAUGGUUACAACGGGUAACGGAGGGUUAGGGCUCGACCCCGGAGAAGGAGCCUGAGAAACGGCUACUACAUCCAAGGAAGGCAGCAGGCGCGCAAAUUACCCAAUCCCGACUCGGGGAGGUAGUGACAAUAAAUACUGAUACAGGGCUCUUUUGGGUCUUGUAAUUGGAAUGAGUACAAUUUAAAUCCCUUAACGAGGAACAAUUGGAGGGCAAGUCUGGUGCCAGCAGCCGCGGUAAUUCCAGCUCCAAUAGCGUAUAUUAAAGUUGUUGCAGUUAAAAAGCUCGUAGUUGAACCUUGGGCCUGGCUGGCCGGUCCGCCUCACCGCGUGCACUGGUUCGGCCGGGCCUUUCCCUCUGGGGAACUGCAUGCUCUUCACUGAGCGUGUUAGGGAACCAGGACUUUUACUGUGAAAAAAUUAGAGUGUUCAAAGCAGGCCUAUGCUCGAAUACAUUAGCAUGGAAUAAUAAAAUAGGACGUGUGGUUCUAUUUUGUUGGUUUCUAGGACCGCCGUAAUGAUUAAUAGGGACAGUCGGGGGCAUCAGUAUUCAAUUGUCAGAGGUGAAAUUCUUGGAUUUAUUGAAGACUAACUACUGCGAAGCAUUUGCCAAGGAUGUUUUCAUUAAUCAGGACGAAAGUUAGGGGAUCGAAGACGAUCAGAUACCGUCGUAGUCUUAAUCAUAAACUAUGCGACUAGGGAUCGGACG
rnacentral:rRNA from 1 species